rnacentral:rRNA from 1 species
CCAGACUCCUACGGGAGGCAGCAGUGGGGAAUAUUGGGCAAUGGAGGAAACUCUGACCCAGCAACGCCGCGUGAAUGAUGAAGGUCUUCGGAUUGUAAAGUUCUUUUCUAAGGGAAGAAGAAAGUGACGGUACCUUAGGAAUAAGCCUCGGCUAACUACGUGCCAGCAGCCGCGGUAAUACGUAGGGGGCAAGCGUUAUCCGGAUUUACUGGGUGUAAAGGGAGCGUAGACGGAAUUGCAAGUCUGAUGUGAAAAUCCGGGGCCCAACCCCGGAACUGCAUUGGAAACUGUAUUUCUAGAGUGUCGGAGAGGCAAGUGGAAUUCCUGGUGUAGCGGUGAAAUGCGUAGAUAUCAGGAGGAACACCAGUGGCGAAGGCGGCUUGCUGGACGAUGACUGACGUUGAGGCUCGAAAGCGUGGGGAGCAAACAGGAUUAGAUACCCCCGUAAG